CGAGGCCGAUAGGCGUAGGCGAUGGACAACAGGUAGAGAUUCCUGUACCAGUGCUAAUUGUUUAACCGAUGGGGUGACACAGAAGGAUAGGGAAUCGCACGAAUGGAAAUGUGCGUCCAAGCAGUGAGUGUGAGAAGUAGGCAAAUCCGCUUCUCGCGAAGCAUGAGCUGUGAUGGGGAAGGAAAUUAAGUACGGAAGUUCCUGAUUUCACGCUGUCAAGAAAAGCCUCUAGGAAGAGUAGUACUGCCCGUACCGCAAACCGACACAGGUAGAUGAGGAGAGAAUCCUAAGGUGAGCGAGAGAACUCUCGUUAAGGAACUCGGCAAAAUGACCCCGUAACUUCGGGAGAAGGGGUGCUCUAUUAGGGUGCAAGCCCGAGAGAGCCGCAGUGAAUAGGCCCAGGCGACUGUUUAGCAAAAACACAGGUCUCUGCAAAACCGUAAGGUGACGUAUAGGGGCUGACGCCUGCCCGGUGCUGGAAGGUUAAGAGGAGUGCUUAGCUUCGG
rnacentral:rRNA from 1 species